rnacentral:rRNA from 1 species
AGCGAACGCUGGCGGCAGGCUUAACACAUGCAAGUCGAGCGGGCAUCCUUGUGGUGUCAGCGGCAGACGGGUGAGUAACGCGUGGGAACGUGCCCUUCGGUUCGGAAUAACUCAGGGAAACUUGAUCUAAUACCGGAUACGUGCGAGAGCAGAAAGGUUUAUCUGCCGAAGGAUCGGCCCGCGUCUGAUUAGCUAGUUGGUGAGGUUAUGGCUCACCAAGGCGACGAUCAGUAGCUGGUCUGAGAGGAUGAUCAGCCACACUGGGACUGAGACACGGCCCAGACUCUUACGGGAGGCAGCAGUGGGGAAUAUUGGAAAAUGGGGGCAACCCUGAUCCAGCCAUGCCGGGUGAGUGAUGACGGCAUUAGGGUUGUAAAGCUCUUUUCUCCGGGACGAUAAUGACGGUACCGGAGGAAUAAGCCCCGGCUAACUUCGUG